rnacentral:rRNA from 1 species
GUGAGGAAUAUUGGACAAUGGGCGCAAGCCUGAUCCAGCCAUGCCGCGUGCAGGAAGACGCAUCUAUGGUGUGUAAACUGCUUUUGUACGGGAAGAAACACUCCCUCGUGAGGGAGCUUGACGGUACCGUAAGAAUAAGGAUCGGCUAACUCCGUGCCAGCAGCCGCGGUAAUACGGAGGAUCCAAGCGUUAUCCGGAAUCAUUGGGUUUAAAGGGUCCGUAGGCGGUAUAAUAAGUCAGUGGUGAAAGCCCAUCGCUCAACGAUGGAACGGCCAUUGAUACUGUUAGACUUGAAUUACAAGGAAGUAACUAGAAUAUGUAGUGUAGCGGUGAAAUGCUUAGAUAUUACAUGGAAUACCAAUUGCGAAGGCAGGUUACUACUUGUGGAUUGACGCUGAUGGACGAAAGCGUGGGGAGCGAACAGGAUUAGAAACCCGUGUAGUCC